UACGUAGGGGGCAAGCGUUGUCCGGAAUCAUUGGGCGUAAAGAGCGUGUAGGCGGCUUGGCAAGUCUCGCGUGAAAUCCUGCGGCUCAACCGCAGGCGGUCGCGGGAAACUGCCUCGCUAGAGUCCGGAAGAGGAGAGUGGAAUUCCUGGUGUAGCGGUGAAAUGCGCAGAUAUCAGGAAGAACACCGAUGGCGAAGGCAGUUCUCUGGGACGGUACUGACG
rnacentral:rRNA from 1 species